AAUGAACGCUGGCGGCAGGCCUAACACAUGCAAGUCGAGCGGAUCCUUCGGGAUUAGUGGCGGACGGGUGAGUAACGCGUGGGAACAUACCCAAAGGUACGGAAUAGCCUCGGGGAACUGGGAGUAAUACCGUAUGUGCUCGAAAGAGGAAAGAUUUAUCGCCUUUGGAUUGGCCCGCGUUGGAUUAGGUAGUUGGUGGGGUAAUGGCCUACCAAGCCGACGAUCCAUAGCUGGUUUGAGAGGAUGAUCAGCCACACUGGGACUGAGACACGGCCCAGACUCCUACGGGAGGCAGCAGUGGGGAAUCUUAGACAAUGGGGGAAACCCUGAUCUAGCCAUGCCGCGUGAUCGAUGAAGGCCUUAGGGUUGUAAAGAUCUUUCAGGUGGGAAGAUAAUGACUGUACCACCAGAAGAAGCCCCGGCUAACUCCGUGCCAGCAGCCGCAGUAA
rnacentral:rRNA from 1 species